ACAUAUUUAUAAAUCAGAAAACAGAUUCACCAUUGCUUCAUUGAAUACUUCAUCACUAUUAUGGAGGGUCAAUCAGUUACGGUGCAUUAUGCGUAGGCACACAUACUUAUCACUGGUUCCCCAUAUACCUAAACACGAAACAGCAUACAUGAGUACCUUGAAACACUAUUUUCCCAUACAUCCGAACACAGAACGGUUAGAGCACAAAAAUCAAACUAUUUUCCCAUACACCCAAACACGAAAUAAUUAUAUAUGAGUAAACACUUAUCACUUUACUAAUACACCCGAAUACAAAACAGUUAUGUAUGGGUAAAUACUUAUUACUUUGUCAAUACACCCAAACACAAAAUGGUUAUGUAUGACCACAUUAGAGCCUAGUAUAAUGCAGGUACUUUCAGAAUAGUUUCUUUCUAUAAUGAGUGAUGCACACGUAUCAACAUCACAUUU
rnacentral:lncRNA from 1 species